rnacentral:rRNA from 1 species
UGGGGAAUUUUGGACAAUGGGCGAAAGCCUGAUCCAGCAAUGCCGCGUGUGUGAAGAAGGCCUUCGGGUUGUAAAGCACUUUUGUCCGGAAAGAAAUCCUUGGCUCUAAUACAGUCGGGGGAUGACGGUACCGGAAGAAUAAGCACCGGCUAACUACGUGCCAGCAGCCGCGGUAAUACGUAGGGUGCAAGCGUUAAUCGGAAUUACUGGGCGUAAAGCGCGCGCAGGCGGUUUGCUAAGACCGAUGUGAAAUCCCCGGGCUCAACCUGGGAACUGCAUUGGUGACUGGCAGGCUAGAGUAUGGCAGAGGGGGGUAGAAUUCCACGUGUAGCAGUGAAAUGCGUAGAGAUGUGGAGGAAUACCGAUGGCGAAGGCAGCCCCCUGGGCCAAUACUGACGCUCAUGCACGAAAGCGUGGGGAGCAAACAGGAUUAGAUACCCUGGUAGUCCACGCCCUAAACGAUGUCAACUAGUUGUUGGGGAUUCAUUUCCUUAGUAACGUAGCUAACGCGUGAAGUUGACCGCCUGGGGAGUACGGUCGCAAGAUUAAAACUCAAAUGAAUUGACGGGGUCAUA